CCUACGGGUGGCAGCAGUGAGGAAUAUUGGUCAAUGGCCGUAAGGCUGAACCAGCCAAGUAGCGUGAGGGAAGACUGCCCUAUGGGUUGUAAACCUCUUUUAUGCGGGGAUAAAGUUGUCCACGUGUGGCUGUUUGCAGGUACUUCAUGAAUAAGGACCGGCUAAAUCCGUGCCAGCAGCCGCGGUAAUACGGAAGGUCCGGGCGUUAUCCGGAUUUAUUGGGUUUAAAGGGAGCGUAGGCGGGUCGUUAAGCGUGCCGUGAAAUUUUGUGGCUCAACCCUGAGAGUGCGGCGCAUACUGGCGACCGUGAGUGCGCGGAAGGCAGGCGGAAUUCGUGGUGUAGCGGUGAAAUGCUUAGAUAUCACGAAGAACCCCGAUUGCGAAGGCAGCCUACCGAAGCGUUACUGACGCUGAAGCUCGAAAGCGCGGGUAUCGAACAGGAUUAGAUACCCUGGUAGUC
rnacentral:rRNA from 1 species